rnacentral:rRNA from 1 species
GAUGAACGCUAGCUACAGGCUUAACACAUGCAAGUCGAGGGGCAGCAUGGUCUUAGCUUGCUAAGGCCGAUGGCGACCGGCGCACGGGUGAGUAACGCGUAUCCAACCUGCCUUACACUCUUGGACAGCCUUCUGAAAGGGAGAUUAAUACAAGAUGUUAUCAUGAGUAAGCAUUUUCGCAUGAUUAAAGGUUUACCGGUGUAAGAUGGGGAUGCGUUCCAUUAGAUAGUAGGCGGGGUAACGGCCCACCUAGUCUUCUAUGGAUAGGGGUUCUGAGAGGAAGGUCCCCCACAUUGGAACUGAGACACGGUCCAAACUCCUACGGGAGGCAGCAGUGAGGAAUAUUGGUCAAUGGACGAGAGUCUGAACCAGCCAAGUAGCGUGAAGGAUGAAGGUUCUAUGGAUUGUAAACUUCUUUUAUACGGGAAUAAACGGAUCCACGUGUGGAUUUUUGCAUGUACCGUAUGAAUAAGGAUCGGCUAACUCCGUGCCAGCAGCCGCGGUAAUACGGAGGAUCCGAGCGUUAUCCGGAUUUAUUGGGUUUAAAGGGAGCGUAGAUGGGUUGUUAAGUCAGUUGUGAAAGUUUGCGGCUCAACCGUAAAAUUGCAAUUGAUACUGGCAGUCUUGAGUACAGUUGAGGUAGGCGGAAUUCGUGGUGUAGCGGUGAAAUGCUUAGAUAUCACGAAGAACUCCGAUUGCGAAGGCAGCUUACUAACCUGUAACUGACAUUGAUGCUCGAAAGUGUGGGUAUCAAACAGGAUUAGAUACCGUGGUAGUCCACACGGUAAACGAUGAAUACUCGCUGUAGGCGAUAUACAGUCUGCGGCCAAGCGAAAGCAUUAAGUAUUCCACCUGGGGAGUACGCCGGCAACGGUGAAACUCAAAGGAAUUGACGGGGGCCCGCACAAGCGGAGGAACAUGUGGUUUAAUUCGAUGAUACGCGAGGAACCUUACCCGGGCUUAAAUUGCAACCGAAUAUGGCGGAAACGCUAUAGCUAGCAAUAGCGGUUGUGAAGGUGCUGCAUGGUUGUCGUCAGCUCGUGCCGUGAGGUGUCGGCUUAAGUGCCAUAACGAGCGCAACCCUUGCCGAUAGUUACUAACAGGUUAUGCUGAGGACUCUGUCGGGACUGCCAUCGUAAGAUGUGAGGAAGGUGGGGAUGACGUCAAAUCAGCACGGCCCUUACGUCCGGGGCUACACACGUGUUACAAUGGGGGGUACAGAGGGCUGCUACCACGCAAGUGGAUGCCAAUCCCAAAAACCUCUUUCAGUUCGGAUUGAAGUUUGCAACCCGACUUCAUGAAGGUGGAUUCGGUUGUAAUCGCGCAUCAGCCACGGCGCGGUGAAUACGUUCCCGGGCCU